AUUGAACGCUGGCGGCAUGCCUUACACAUGCAAGUCGAACGGCAGCACGGGGCAACCUGGUGGCGAGUGGCGAACGGGUGAGUAAUGCAUCGGAACGUACCUUUCAGUGGGGGAUAACGUAGCGAAAGUUACGCUCAUACCUCAUAUUCUGUGAGCAGGAAAGCAGGGGAUCGCAAGCCCUCGCGCUGUUUGAGCGGCCGGUGGCGGAUUAGCUACUUAGUGAGGUAAAGGCCUACCAAGGCGACGAUCUGUAGCGGGUCUGAGAGGAUGAUCCGCCACACUGGAACUGAGACACGGUCCAGCCUCCUACGGGAGGCAGCGGUGAGGAAUUUUGGACAAUGGGGGCAACCCUGAUCCAGCCAUGCCGCGUGAGUGAGGAAGGCCUUCGGGUUGUAAAGCUCUUUCGGCCGGGAAGAAAUCGCACGGGCUAAUACCCUGUGUGGAUGACGGUACCGGAAUAAGAAGCACCGGCUAACUACGUGCCAGCCGCCGCCGUAACAC
rnacentral:rRNA from 1 species